AUUGAACGCUGGCGGCAGGCCUAACACAUGCAAGUCGAGCGGAUGAGAGGAGCUUGCUCUUCGAUUCAGCGGCGGACGGGUGAGUAAUGCCUAGGAAUCUGCCUAGUAGUGGGGGACAACGUUUCGAAAGGAACGCUAAUACCGCAUACGUCCUACGGGAGAAAGUGGGGGAUCUUCGGACCUCACGCUAUUAGAUGAGCCUAGGUCGGAUUAGCUAGUUGGUAGGGUAACGGCCUACCAAGGCGACGAUCCGUAACUGGUCUGAGAGGAUGAUCAGUCACACAGGAACUGAGACACGGUCCAGACUCCUACGGGAGGCAGCAGUGGGGAAUAUUGGACAAUGGGCGAAAGCCUGAUCCAGCCAUGCCGCGUGUGUGAAGAAGGCCCUCGGGUCGUAAAGCACUUUAAGUUGGGAGGAAGGGCUUACAGCGAAUACCUGUGAGUUUUGACGUUACCGACAGAAUAAGCACCGGCUAACUUCGUGCCAGCCGCCGCAGUAA
rnacentral:rRNA from 1 species